rnacentral:rRNA from 1 species
CGCGUAGGCGGUGAACACAGUUAGGCGUGAAAUUCCCGGGCUCAACCUGGGGGCUGCGCUUAAUACAUGUUCGCUUGAGUUCGGAAGAGGGUCGUGGAAUUCCCAGUGUAGAGGUGAAAUUCGUAGAUAUUGGGAAGAACACCGGUGGCGAAGGCGGCGACCUGGUCCGAUACUGACGCUGAGGCGCGAAAGCGUGGGGAGCAAACA